rnacentral:rRNA from 1 species
AUUGAACGCUGGCGGCAUGCUUUACACAUGCAAGUCGAACGGUAACAGGUUAAGCUGACGAGUGGCGAACGGGUGAGUAAUGCAUCGGAACGUGCCCGGUCGUGGGGGAUAACGCAGCGAAAGCUGCGCUAAUACCGCAUACGAUCUGAGGAUGAAAGCGGGGGACCGUAAGGCCUCGCGCGAUCGGAGCGGCCGAUGUCAGAUUAGGUAGUUGGUGGGGUAAAGGCUCACCAAGCCAACGAUCUGUAGCUGGUCUGAGAGGACGACCAGCCGCAGUGGGAAGUAGACCCGGCCCAGACUCCUACGGGAGGCAGCAGUGGGGAAUUUUGGACAAUGGGCGAAAGCCUGAUCCAGCAAUGCCGCGUGCAGGAAGAAGGCCUUCGGGUUGUAAACUGCUUUUGUACGGAGCGAAAAGGUCUCCUCUAAUACAGGGGGCUCAUGACGGUACCGUAAGAAUAAGCACCGGCUAACUACGUGCCAGCCGCCGCAGUAA